ACAGGUUGUAGCUAAGUGGUGGAGCAUCUGCUUUGCAUGCAGAAGGUUUCAAGUUCACCCCCUGGCAUCUGUA